rnacentral:rRNA from 1 species
UACGAAGGGGGCUAGCGUUGUUCGGAAUUACUGGGCGUAAAGCGCGUGUAGGCGGGUCUUUUAAGUCAGGGGUGAAAUGCCAAGGCUCAACCUUGGAACUGCCUUUGAUACUGGAGAUCUUGAGUCCGGGAGAGGUGAGUGGAAUUGCGAGUGUAGAGGUGAAAUUCGUAGAUAUUCGCAAGAACACCAGUGGCGAAGGCGGCUCACUGGCCCGGAACUGGACGCUGAGACGCGAAAGC